CCAGGCAGUGUGGUGGUCUGGGCAGGGUGAGUAGUCUAGGCAGUGUGGUGAUCCGGGCAGUGUGAGUGCUCCAGGCAGUGUGGUGGUCUGGGCAGGGUGAGUAGUCUAGGCAGUGUGGUGAUCCGGGCAGUGUGAGUGCUCCAGGCAGUGUGGUGGUCCGGGUAGGGUGGUAGUCUUAACAGGGUGAGUGGUCCGGGCAGUGUGGUGGUCCGGGUAGGGUGGUAGUCUUAACAGGGUGAGUGGUCCGGGCAGUGUGGUGGUCCGGGCAGUGUGGUGGUCCGGGCAGGGUGAGUGGUCCGGACAGUGUGGUGGUUCGGGCAGUGUGGUGGUCUGGGCAGUGUGGUGGUCCAGGCAGGGUGAGUGGUCCGGGCAGUGUGGUGGUCCGGGCAGUGUGGUGGUCUGCGUAGGGUGUUGGUCCCAGUAGGGUGGUGAGCCUGGCAGGGUGAGUGAUCUGAACAGUGUUUCGUCUGGGGCAGAGGUAAAGGUGCUGGCAGAGACAUCAAGCUCCGUCCAUUUUCCCGGCAGUGCUGUUGAGUGUGGCUGGAGGAUCCGAGGGUGUGGUCUGAGCGACCUCAGUGGGGCCUUGAUUGCUGGGUGUUGUCCAGAAACCCGCCGCUCCUCCCACUGGCCUUGACCUUGGCUGGGCUGGGGGUUGCUGGGCGGCAGGGGCAGGCAGCCACCUCUGCACACAGGGCCACCCUCGCCACUGCUCUCCCCAUUGGAUUCUGCAGAGCCGGGGACUUCACGGCCCUGACCGCUGCCCUGUAUCUCGGUGACGUGAUGUGCUCGUGUUGGUUUUUCCUGUCUUUUUUUAGACUUAAUCAGAAAUAAGGUAGAAGGUCAGAGUCCACAGCAAAGAGGCACAGAGGGGAACGGCAGCUCCUUGGGUCCCACGGGGCUGUGCCUGCUCCUUGGUGGGGACACUGGAGGCCCAGAGUGGCACAGACCCUGUCUUCACUGAGGGGAGAAAGAGGCAGCCCCGGGGCAUGAGAGCCACCCCUGCUGAUGCUGCCCCGGGCCCACAAGGGCCAAGCUCCAGGAACAUGGAAGUCCUGCCCUGGGCAGCACAGCCUCCAGAUUCCAAGAACCCAGCCUGGCACCCCAGGCUGGGCACAGCAAGGAGAGAGACUUCGACACUCUGCAUUAAGAUGGUAGCUCGUGGCCGGCGCGGUGGCUCAUCCCUGUAAUCCCAGCACUUUGGGAGGCCGAGGCGGGUGGAUCACAAGGUCAGGAAUCAAGACCAUCUGGUUAACACCAUGAAACCCUGUCUCUUAAAAAUAUGAAAACUUAGCCGGGCGUGGUGGCAGGCGCCUGUAGUCCCAGCUACUGGGGGGAGGCCGAGGCAGGAGAAUGGCGUGAACCUGGGAGGCGGAGCUUGCAGUGAGCCGAGAUCACAUCACUGCACUCCAGCCUGCGCCACAGAGCAAAACUCCGUCACACACACACAAAAAAAUGGUAGCUCCUGAGCCAACACUUUUCCGCUCCCCCACCCGCUGCGUCUCAGCAUUCCUUAGGCUCUCCCCUUGGGAGACUCACAUGUAUGGGGCGGGGGAGCGGGGGUUUCCUAGGCCCUGACUCAGCUAGAGCGUCUGGCUGACCCGUCAUUGUCCAGGGAAGCCAUGGAUCUGGUGGCCGCAGCCCAGCGCCGUCCUCACCACCCAGGCCUGCCUGGAGCCCAGUGGCUGUCAGGGCAGCCGAGACCAGAAGCGCAGACUUCGGCCUCUCUGAAGCUCCUCCAUUUCUGGCUGCUUUUCACUGCCGUCUGCCUGCCUGUGUUCUUGUCUUCACGCCGGCCUUUGGUACGGGAGGGAGCCAUCCACGGCCCACACUGCAGCUCCCGUGACCUCCGCACGGCCCCGUGCGGACACUCAUCUGGAUUUUGUUUGUGCUCAGGAGAGGCUCUGCAUUGAACGACCUUGCACUGGGCCGGUUUCUUUUCUAAAGGUUCCAGAGGGCAUGGCUGUCAACUUCCCGCUUGUGUCCCCGUCGGGUUCCAGGGCACAGAGGUUUAUGCGGAGGGCUCGAGGGACUCACACCUGGGGGCAGAGUUGGGCAGCGGCGACGGGCACUCUGGAGCCCAUCACCCCCUUGGUGUCGAGGCCCAGGGGCCUGAUGUGCCCACUGCUGGCCAGUUUUUGGGUCGGGCCCCUCCCCCAGGGGGGUGCUGGGCUACCCUCCUGAGGGCAGAAGCAAUUGUUAAGAGCCUCAUCACUGUGGUGUCAGCCACUAGCCCUCCCCAGCUGUGGAACAGGGGUUGGUCCCCAUGCGGAGGGGUCCUGGUCCUGGGCGGCCCCACCACACCCUGAACCGCCUGAGCUUCUGACUGCAUGGAAUAUUCACAGGACUGCAGUGUGAGAAGGCAGCACCGCCCCGGCGCCCGCGAGGAAGCCGAACUGCUCAUAAGUUAAGCAGCCCCAGCCAGGUCACGGGGCAAGGAAGCCGCCUGCGACCUCGGAAACCCCUGGUUCAUCCCAUGACCCACCCCCGUUCAUCCGGUGACCCACCCCUCACCCCGGUUCAUCCCGUGACCCACCCCCCCGUUCAUCCCAUGACCCAGCCCCCCACCCCGGUUCAUCCCAUGACCCAGCCCCCCACCCCGGUUCAUCCCAUGACCCACCCCCCACCCCGGUUCAUCCCGUGACCCACCCCCCGUUCAUCCCAUGACCCAGCCCCCCACCCCGGUUUAUCCCGUGACCCACCCCCUGUUCAUCCCGUGACCCACCCCCCGUUCAUCCCGUGACCCAGCCCCCAACCCCGUUCAUCCCGUGACCCACCCCCAACCCCGGUUUAGCCCGUGACCCACCCCCCCCCCGUUCAUCCCGUGACCCACCCCCCGGUUCAUCCCGUGACCCAGCCCCCAACCCCGUUCAUCCCGUGACCCAGACCCCACCCUGGUUUAUCCCAUGACCCACCCACGGUUCAUCCUGUGACCCGCCCCCCGUUCAUCCCGUGACCCACCCCCCACCCCUGGUUUAUCCCGUGACCCACCCCCGGGUCAUCCUGUGACCCAGACCCCACCCUGGUUUAUCCCAUGACCCGCCCACGGUUCAUCCUGUGACCCGCCCCCCGUUCAUCCCGUGACCCAGCCCCCCACCCCUGGUUUAUCCCGUGACCCACCCCCGGGUCAUCCUGUGACCCAGACCCCACCCCUGGUUUAUCCCGUGACCCACCCUCGGGUCAUCCCGUGACCCAGACCCCACGCCUGGUUUAUCCCGUGACCCACCCGCAGCACCAGCACCUCAGUGCUGCUUUUGUAUUUAUAGUCGCCUUGCUGUAUGUUGAGCGUAAUUUUACAAUCUGCCCAAAAUUCCUUUGAAGAGCAGAUAGGUGUGUACACCCUAAAUGAAUAAAAUACAGUGCGAUUUGGUGAAAGGUAA
rnacentral:lncRNA from 10 species